AUACGGAGGGUGCAAGCGUUACUCGGAAUCACUGGGCGUAAAGCGCAUGCAGGCGGUCUAAUAAGUUGGAAGUGAAGGCCUAUGGCUCAACCAUAGAACUGCUUCCAAAACUGUUAGACUAGAGUCUGGGAGGGGAAGAUGGAAUUAGUAGUGUAGGGGUAAAAUCCGUAGAGAUUACUAGGAAUACCAAAAGCGAAGGCGAUCUUCUGGAACAGUACUGACGCUGAGAUGCGAAAGCGUGGGGAGCAAACAGGAUUAGAAACCCUAGUAGUCC
rnacentral:rRNA from 1 species